rnacentral:rRNA from 1 species
UAUCGCCGAAGGAUUGGCCCGCGUCCGAUUAGCUAGUUGGUGUGGUAAUGGCGCACCAAGGCGACGAUCGGUAGCUGGUCUGAGAGGAUGAUCAGCCACAUUGGGACUGAGACACGGCCCAAACUCCUACGGGAGGCAGCAGUGGGGAAUAUUGGACAAUGGGGGAAACCCUGAUCCAGCCAUGCCGCGUGAGUGAUGAAGGCCUUCGGGUUGUAAAGCUCUUUUACCCGGGAAGAUAAUGACUGCACCGGGAGAAUAAGCUCCGGCUAACUUCGUGCCAGCAGCCGCGGUAAUACGAAGGGGGCUAGCGUUGUUCGGAAUUACUGGGCGUAAAGCGCGCGCAGGCGGUUUCUCAAGUCAGUGGUGAAAGCCCGGAGCUCAACUCCGGAACUGCCAUUGAAACUGUGAAACUUGAGGACGAGAGAGGUGAGUGGAAUUCCCAGUGUAGAGGUGAAAUUCGUAGAUAUUGGGAAGAACACCGGUGGCGAAGGCGGCUCACUGGCUCGUUUCUGACGCUCAGGCGCGACAGCGUGGGGAUCAAACAGGAUUAGAUACCCUGGUAGUCCACGCCGUAAACGAUGAACGCUAGCCGUUGGAUAGCUUGCUAUUCAGUGGCGCAGCUAACGCAUUAAGCGUUCCGCCUGGGGAGUACGGCCGCAAGGUUGAA